rnacentral:rRNA from 1 species
UAAUUGAAGAGUUUGAUCAUGGCUCAGAUUGAACGCUGGCGGCAGGCCUAACACAUGCAAGUCGAACGGUAACAGGGAGCAGCUUGCUGCUUCGCUGACGAGUGGCGGACGGGUGAGUAAUGUCUGGGAAACUGCCUGAUGGAGGGGGAUAACUACUGGAAACGGUAGCUAAUACCGCAUAACGUCUUCGGACCAAAGUGGGGGACCUUCGGGCCUCAUGCCAUCAGAUGUGCCCAGAUGGGAUUAGCUAGUAGGUGGGGUAACGGCUCACCUAGGCGACGAUCCCUAGCUGGUCUGAGAGGAUGACCAGCCACACUGGAACUGAGACACGGUCCAGACUCCUACGGGAGGCAGCAGUGGGGAAUAUUGCACAAUGGGCGCAAGCCUGAUGCAGCCAUGCCGCGUGUAUGAAGAAGGCCUUCGGGUUGUAAAGUACUUUCAGCGGGGAGGAAGGCGUUGUGGUUAAUAACCACAGCGAUUGACGUUACCCGCAGAAGAAGCACCGGCUAACUCCGUGCCAGCAGCCGCGGUAAUACGGAGGGUGCAAGCGUUAAUCGGAAUUACUGGGCGUAAAGCGCACGCAGGCGGUUGAUUAAGUCAGAUGUGAAAUCCCCGGGCUCAACCUGGGAACUGCAUUUGAAACUGGUCAGCUUGAGUCUCGUAGAGGGGGGUAGAAUUCCAGGUGUAGCGGUGAAAUGCGUAGAGAUCUGGAGGAAUACCGGUGGCGAAGGCGGCCCCCUGGACGAAGACUGACGCUCAGGUGCGAAAGCGUGGGGAGCAAACAGGAUUAGAUACCCUGGUAGUCCACGCCGUAAACGAUGUCGACUUGGAGGUUGUGCCCUUGAGGCGUGGCUUCCGGAGCUAACGCGUUAAGUCGACCGCCUGGGGAGUACGGCCGCAAGGUUAAAACUCAAAUGAAUUGACGGGGGCCCGCACAAGCGGUGGAGCAUGUGGUUUAAUUCGAUGCAACGCGAAGAACCUUACCUGGUCUUGACAUCCAGAGAAUCCUGCAGAGAUGCGGGAGUGCCUUCGGGAACUCUGAGACAGGUGCUGCAUGGCUGUCGUCAGCUCGUGUUGUGAAAUGUUGGGUUAAGUCCCGCAACGAGCGCAACCCUUAUCCUUUGUUGCCAGCGGUUCGGCCGGGAACUCAAAGGAGACUGCCGGUGAUAAACCGGAGGAAGGUGGGGAUGACGUCAAGUCAUCAUGGCCCUUACGACCAGGGCUACACACGUGCUACAAUGGCGCAUACAAAGAGAAGCGACCUCGCGAGAGCAAGCGGACCUCAUAAAGUGCGUCGUAGUCCGGAUUGGAGUCUGCAACUCGACUCCAUGAAGUCGGAAUCGCUAGUAAUCGUGGAUCAGAAUGCCACGGUGAAUACGUUCCCGGGCCUUGUACACACCGCCCGUCACACCAUGGGAGUGGGUUGCAAAAGAAGUAGGUAGCUUAACCUUCGGGAGGGCGCUUACCACUUUGUGAUUCAUGACUGGGGUGAAGUCGUAACAAGGUAACCGUAGGGGAACCUGCGGUUGGAUCACCUCCUUA